GGCGGACGGGUUAGUAACACGUGAGAACCUACCCUUUAGACAGGAAUAGCCCAUGGAAACGUGGAUUAAUGCCUGAUAGUCUCUACGGAGUAAAUGGUGCCUCCGGGUAUCGCUAGAGGAUGGGCUCGCGGCCUAUCAGCUUGUUGGUGAGGUAAAGGCUCACCAAGGCGACGACGGGUAGCUGGUCUGAGAGGACGAUCAGCAACACUGGAACUGAGACACGGUCCAGACACCUACGGGUGGCAGCAGUCGAGAAUCAUUCACAAUGGAGGCAACUCUGAUGGUGCAACGCCGCGUGGAGGAUGACGGUCCUAGGAUUGUAAACUCCUGUCAUUGGGGAGUAAGACUUAAGCGUUAAGAGCGUUU
rnacentral:rRNA from 1 species